rnacentral:rRNA from 1 species
CUACGGGGUGCAGCAAUGAGGAAUAUUGCACAAUGGGGGGAACCCUGAUGCAGCAACGCCGCGUGGAGGAUGACGCAUUUCGGUGUGUAAACUCCUUUUAUAUGUCAAGAAAAUGACGGUAGCAUAUGAAUAAGCACCGGCUAACUCCGUGCCAGCAGCCGCGGUAAUACGGAGGGUGCAAGCGUUACUCGGAAUCACUGGGCGGUAAAGGACGCGUAGGCGGGUUGGAAAGUCAGGUGUGAAAUCCUACAGCUUAACUGUAGAACUGCACUUGAAACUUCUAAUCUAGAGUAUGGGAGGGGGAGAUGGAAUUAGUGGUGUAGGGGUAAAAUCCGUAGAUAUCACUAGGAAUACCUAAAGCGAAGGCGAUCUCCUGGAACAUUACUGACGCUAAGGCGUGAAAGCGUGGUGAGCGAACAGGAUUAGAUACCCCCGUAGUC